GCUGUGGAUUUCUUAUGGGUUGAAUCUCGAGACAUCAGAUUUUAAUAAUCUCCAUAUCGACUCGACAUUCGAUCUCCUCUUAACUAUGAGAGCUUCUGGAUCUCCUUACCCCCAUGCCCUGGGGUGAUCGCUUGCUGAUUAUGGAUGGGCAAAUAUGGGAGUCGAGCCAGACCGCUCAAUCACAUCUCUAUCGUAUGCUGUGCUCCUCCUGACAUGAGAUCUACUCGGAAUAUCCUCC
rnacentral:lncRNA from 1 species